UAGCAGUACUGAUGUAGUAACACUGUCAGAGAGACAGGUCCACAUAGACCUGUAGCAGUACUGAUGUAGUAACACUGUCAGAGAGACAGGUCCACAUAGACCUGUAGCAGUACUGAUGUAGUAACACUGUCAGAGAGACAGGUCCACAUAGACCUGUAGCAGUACUGAUGUAGUAACACUGUCAGAGAGACAGGUCCACAUAGACCUGUAGCAGUACUGAUGUAGUAACACUGUCAGAGAGACAGGUCCACAUAGACCUGUAGCAGUACUGAUGUAGUAACACUGUCAGAGAGACAGGUCCACAUAGACCUGUAGCAGUACUGAUGUAGUAACACUGUCAGAGAGACAGGUCCACAUAGACCUGUAGCAGUACUGAUGUAGUAACACUGUCAGAGAGACAGGUCCACAUAGACCUGUAGCAGUACUGAUGUAGUAACACUGUCAGAGAGACAGGUCCACAUAGACCUGUAGCAGUACUGAUGUAGUAA